rnacentral:rRNA from 1 species
UGGGGAAUAUUGGACAAUGGGCGGAAGCCUGAUCCAGCCAUGCCGCGUGUGUGAAGAAGGCCUUUUGGUUGUAAAGCACUUUAAGCGAGGAGGAGGCUACUUGGAUUAAUACUCUAGGAUAGUGGACGUUACUCGCAGAAUAAGCACCGGCUAACUCUGUGCCAGCAGCCGCGGUAAUACAGAGGGUGCGAGCGUUAAUCGGAUUUACUGGGCGUAAAGCGUGCGUAGGCGGCUUUUUAAGUCGGAUGUGAAAUCCCUGAGCUUAACUUAGGAAUUGCAUUAGAGACUGGGAAGCUAGAGUAUGGGAGAGGAUGGUAGAAUUCCAGGUGUAGCGGUGAAAUGCGUAGAGAUCUGGAGGAAUACCGAUGGCGAAGGCAGCCAUCUGGCCUAAUACUGACGCUGAGGUACGAAAGCAUGGGGAGCAAACAGG